ACGUAGGCAUCAAGCGUUGUCCGGAUUUAUUGGGCGUAAAGAGCUCGUAGGCGGUUCAGCAAGUCGGGUGUGAAAACUAUGGGCUUAACCCAUAGCCUGCAUCCGAAACUGCUGUGACUAGAGUUCGGUAGGGGAGAGGGGAAUUCCUAGUGUAGCGGUGAAAUGCGCAGAUAUUAGGAGGAACACCGAUGGCGAAGGCACCUCUCUGGGCCGAUACUGACGCUGAGGAGCGAAAGCGUGGGUAGCAAACAGGAUUAGAUACCCUGGUAGUCCACGCCGUAAACGUUGGGCACUAGGUGUGGGUCUCUAACCAACGAGAUCCGCGCCGUCGCUAACGCAUUAAGUGCCCCGCCUGGGGAGUACGGUCGCAAGACUA
rnacentral:rRNA from 1 species